GACUGGAGUUGAGACAUGUGCAUUUCCUAUCUGAUACGUCCUCUAUCUGAGGACAAUAUAUUAAAUGGAUUUUUGGAGCAGGGAGUUGGAAUAGGAACUUGCUCUGUCCAGU